UGACGGUACCUGCAUAAGAAGUGCCUGCUAACUACUUGCCAGCAGCCGCGGUAAUACGUAGGGCGCAAGCGUUGUCCGGAAUUAUUGGGCGUAAAGAGCUCGUACGCGGUCUGUCGCGUCUGCUGUGAAAACCUCAGGCUCAACCUGGGGCUUGCAGUGGGUACGGGCAGACUAGAGUGCGGUAGGGGUGACUGGAAUUCCUGGUGUAGCGGUGGAAUGCGCAGAUAUCAGGAGGAACACCGAUGGCGAAGGCAGGUCACUGGGCCGCAACUGACGCUGAGGAGCGAAAGCAUGGGGAGCGAACAGGAUUAGAUACCCUGGUAGUCCAUGCCGUAAACGUUGGGCACUAGGUGUGGGGUCCAUUCCACGGAUUCCGUGCCGCAGCAAACGCAUUAAGUGCCCCGCCUGGGGAGUACGGCCGCAAGGCUAAAACUCAAAUGAAUUGACGGGG
rnacentral:rRNA from 1 species